AGCUCCAAUAGCGUAUAUUAAAGUUGUUGCAGUUAAAAAGCUCGUAGUCUGAUGUGUGGCGUUCACGUGGCGGUUCGCGUCGACGUGCGGUCGCGCAAGCGUCCCGUACGCGCCGACACUGUCCGUGAUCGCCUCCUAUAGCCGGUUGUCGCUCGUCGGUGCUCUUAGCUGAGUGUCGCAGCGUUGCGCCGGGCUUGUUUACCUUGAAAAAAUUAGAGUGUUCAAGGCAGGCCGCUAGCGCCUGAAUAUCUGUGCAUGGAAUAAUGGAAUAGGAUCUCGGUUCUAUUCUGUUGGUCUUCGGAACGUCGAGAUAAUGAUUAAUAGGGACAGACGGGGGCAUUCGUAUUGCGGCGUUAGAGGUGAAAUUCUUGGAUCGUCGCAAGACGGCCUACAGCGAAAGCAUUUGCCAGGUAUGUUU
rnacentral:rRNA from 1 species